GCGGAUCCCGGCGGCAGCUGCUCCCGCCCCGGCGCGGCCGGAUGUCCCUUGGAGCGGGAGCGGCGGCGUGGUGCGGGCCGGGCCGGGGCAAGGUCUCCGGUUCAAGGCAGGACGUUCCAGCAGCCCGGAGCGGUGAUCCAGAGGCAGCGGCUGCUCCUGUGUGGGGCUGGGUUUGGAUCCAGCUGCUCCCAGGCUCCUCUCAGGCCUUUGGAAAGCCAGGGCAUUUAUCUGGCACCCCUGUGACCCAAGAGAAGUAUCUUCCCUAUAAAUCUCCUGGGGAUCUGGGAAUGCACAGCACGGGGUGUCACCCACACCUGGGGAGCUGCCAGCUGAGUCCCCAGCGCAGAAUGGAGCAUUGCUCCAGGGACAAGCUGUGGGAUGGCUCCAAUCCCACUGACCCUGGGAGCUCUGGCCUCCACCCUGCACCCCUGGGAAGCUUUCCCUUGCAGUUCAGCCCCACUUAAUUUUGGGGCUUUGUGAUCCAUGUGCACUGCAGCUGCACCUUGGAGUGCCCUGGGAUCCAGUGACACCCUCCUGGGCUCUGGGGUGCCCUGGCGUGUGCUGUGGACAGGAGGGAAGCAGAGGGAGCUUGGGGAAGGUGUCCCCAGGGAGAAAUGGGGAGCAGGAGCUUGUGUGGCUGUGCCCAGAAAGCUGGGAGGGCUCUUGGCAAAGGGCUGAUGGUCCAAGAGAGAGGCAGAAGUGUUGCAGGGAGGAAACAGCUUGGCCAUUGCAUGGGGAAGCUGGGCCCUGGCACCAGUGCAUCAGGUGCAGGGGCUGAAGGAAGCAGCUGGAGCUGCUCUUUUCUGGAUCCUGCUCCACAGCACCUGGCAGUGGCCAUCCCAUAGGAUCAGCGCUGUGGAGGAGCGACUGGGAAGGGGGGUCAGGGCCAGCGCUGCUCCUUUGGGCUGCCCUUGUUCCCCUCUUGGGACAGGAUUAGGAUUUGGAAGGGCUGUGGAGCCCCAGCUGUGCUCCCUGCCUGGUGCAGCUGAGAAUUGCAGUGCAGGUGCUUCCCUGCCCUUGGUCAGCCUUGGCCCCUGCUCCUUUUGCUGCCAGAUGAGCCGCAGGGCUCCUUCUCCUGCAGCCCCAGCUCCUGCCAGCCCUGGUCCUGUCCCUUGCCAGCUGCUCCUCUUUGUCUCUCAGCUCGUGGCACUGGGAUUUCAGCACGUGCCAGCAGUGCUGAGGAGCAGGGAGAGCAGGGCCAGGUGAGGGAGGCACGUGGAAAAGGCUUUGUGCUCCAAGGGGAUCCUUUCCACGGGCCAGGAGAGCUGCAGGGAGGGGAAAAAGAUGCCAGUGAAACAUUUCACAGAGUGCUCGGGCACAGACCCAGCAGGCACGGCCCCCCCAGGUGCCCCCAUGCAUGGAUGGAGGGUGUGAAAAACAAGGUUUGCUUAUUUACAACAAAAUCUGCGAUUAAUAAAAAAUGAAAAGACAUUUAGGAGAUAGAAAAGCAAGAUAUGACCGGGUGACUUAGUAUUCAGCCAAGAGCAAACUUCUAAGGAAAUAGCUCAGCUUGCUCCUUAAAAGUUUUACCCUGUUGGUUACUCAUUAAAUCAACAACAUGAUUCAAA